rnacentral:rRNA from 1 species
AGAUCUCUUAGCGGUGGAUCACUCGGCUCGAGCGUCGAUGAAGAACGCAGCG